GCCGGGAUGCGGCAGUCAGCGGAAUCUAGGAAGGGAGGGUCGGGUGGGGGCAGACCCACUUUCUGGGGUGCGCCCUCCUAUCCUGUAAGGAGAGGGCUCCUGAUGGAAAAGGCGUGGCGCUGGGUUUUAUUCCCGACCCCCCGUGUGGUUAGCCUCUGGGAAGUGUGCGCAGCUAGUGGGUCCGCUAAUGAGGUCACGAGGCGAAUCUCGCUUCUCAGAAAUCUUGGAUUCAAAGUCCUCAGGUCGUCAACCCCCCGCGGUUCCACAGCCCUUGGAGGACUGGUACCCUGAGGACCUUCUGCAGGUAUCCGGUGGAUGAACACAGCUGGAAUCAGUGCUACACAACAGAGGGGAGCAAGAGAGGCGCUUCCCUGAGGACCGGAUGUGAGGGACAAGUAGCAGCUGACAGGCUCCCACGUGCCCCGGAACCAGAGCCCAGGACCCUGCUGCGGACACACAGCCUCCGAGGGAGCGGGGUGCUGGGCCGCACAAGCCCCCCUCUCCAGACGCCUCGGCCUCCAGGCUCCUACCCCUGUCCAGAGGCCCUGCAGGGGGCUCCCGGCGAUGCUUCCAGUCCGCAGGCAGGGUGCUGUGGUUAUCCUGCCCGUGAGCCCCCCCUGGCCGCUCAGGGACCUGCAGGCUGCCGAAGAGCUGACUGCCCGGAAGCUGGUAGGGGAGGGGCGGAAGGGGGAGAGAACACACAAGGAUGGAGCUUUCCAGAGAAGUAGGUGUGCGCCCCCCCCAACCGCGGUGCCUUCCCUCCCCCAGCACUGACCUUGUUCGGGGGCGGGGGUUUCGGUGAGCACUGUGACAGGGUGUGGUAGCUGGGGUUGGAGUAGUAGUGGCUGUAGCUGGGAGGGACAUCUGCGCGAACAGACGGGGCGCGUCGUGACCUGGCCGGUCAGCGAGAGGCCCGGGCCCGAGACAGUUGUUCUGUCCCGGCAGAUCUGACCUCUCUUCUCCCCUCCAGCUCCCCGCUUCGCCUCUUCCGGGUCCAGGGAGGGACACGGGAGCCCCGCACCCCAUCCGCCCGGAGCCCACGCGCCAGCCCCGCGUCGUGUCCCCCGCCCCCGGGCCAGCUCACCUGGCAUGACGUACUCGGAGCCAUCCAGCCGCCCGCUGCUGUAGGCCACGGCCAGGUGUUGGUGUGCCUUGCCUUUUUGCCAAUGGCGGUAGCCGAUGAACAGUGCCAGCAGGGCCACCACCAGGGACCCCAGCACCGCGAUGCCAAUCACUGCCCCCAGCGAGUUAUAGGCCACCGGAGAGGGGGCGCCGCUGUGCCCCGGGGGACACACACAGGCUCCCGUCUCCGGGUGGCACCUCUCUCCAGGACCACACUGGCAGGACUGGGAGCAGUUGGCACCAAACAUCCCCGGAGAGCAGCCUGCGGGACAGGCAAGGAGGCAGUGGGGUUGAGGGACCCAGAUCUGCAGUGUCCGCCUUGGGCUUGGGGGCAGGGCGGGAGUUUCCCUUCUCUGGGUACCUUCUAAGCAGAGGUAUCCAGUCCAGCCUGGGGGGCAGAAACAGCUCCCAUCCUGGGGGUGGCAGGCCCCCCCCUGGCGGCACUGGCAGGGCUGGGCGCAGUUGGCUCCCCAGUGUCCUAGAGGGCACGCUGCAGGAGACAAGGUGGCUGUCCGGUGGGGCAGGGCCACCCCCGUCUGGAUGAACCCUCAGCUCCCAGCUCCCUGAAAUCUUCUCAGCCUUGGUCUCCCGGGGACACCAAGUUUUUGAACCGCAGCCACACACCGAUGAGUCACACAUGCUUAUCACGUGCCCAGCUGCCUACUGGAACCUGCACUUGGCUAUCUAGCAGCCAUUUCAGACUCGCGGGGCCAGGGCCAGACAACCAAAGGCUUUCAAACUACCCUGCGUUGCUUAGCUCUGGUUUCUUUUUUCCGUCUUUAUCAUAAGAGAGAAGUAAACCCUUUGAGGCAUAA